rnacentral:rRNA from 1 species
UACAUGUGGGGCAAGCGUUGUUCGGAAUUACUGGGCAUAAAGGGUGCGUAGGCGGCUUGUUAAGUCACUGGUGAAAGUUUUCGGCCUAACCGGAAAAUGGCCUGUGAUACUGGCGAGCUUGAGUGCGUGAGGGGUUGGGGGAACGUGCAGUGUAGCGGUGAAAUGCGUAGAUAUUGCACGGAAGGCCGGAGCCGAAGGGGCCCAACUGGUACGCAACUGACGCUGAGGCACGAAAGCGUGGGGAGCAAACAGG